rnacentral:lncRNA from 1 species
GCGGCCCAAUGGCAGGCUGUUAAGCUACCACCACUCACUGCCAUCUCUGGGCUGUGGACCUUUUGGAGAUGCCCAAAACCAGCUGCCAGCCCCCUCCUCUCUCAGAGCCAAGCAUCGAGUUCCCUCCUUUCACCUUGAAACUGGAGGAGGCAUAUCUUCUGGGACCACACAGAAGCCAAGGGACAGAGAGAAGCUUUCGUGCCCAGAUCUGGGUGGAGAAAGAAGUGAGAGAGGGGGUGAGUGGGGCACAGCAGGGGCCCUGGCAGCUCGCUCGCCACCUCCUGCACUUGGAGGUCCCACUGGCCUGCCUGUUCUGUCCCAGUUUCAGUCCAUUCUAGACGGGGCAGGUGGUCCUGAAGGAGGCCAAGUCCCCUCCCUGCCCUGACGAGGGCUCGCUGGAAAGAGCUGAGUCAGCUCCCGCCCCCUCCUCCAUGCUGCGGCAAAGUCAAACGCAAGCGCCUCCCACCCCAGAGACCUUUGGUCGCAGCCUGGAGAUCAGCUCAGACAAGAAAACAACCAGGGAAGGCACACAGACUCUGGGAAACGCUGCUGCUGUUUGACAUCGCACAGUCAGAAGGGAUCGUCUCAGCCAGCCUGCAGCAUCUGUCACUUUGACCAUGAGACGCUGCCUCGAUUUCCAAUCCAGGUGCAAAGCUUCAGAUAGGAGUUUGGGAAGCACAGCAAUCCCCAUCUCUUAUUUUUUUCAACUUUCAUUCCAAGAAAAUAGGACCUUGAGUCCAAUUCCCAGAGCUGAGACUUGAGGUCCAACUCUGCCUUCACCUGCACCCGGCCCUGGAGGUCUGGGCCCCUUUAUUCCAGCUCCCGCACAGGCUGAUGCCCCACCGCACCCCAGGGCUCCGCUCCCCAAAUCACAACCUCCCCACCCCCACGCCUCCCUCAUUACAGGGUCCUCCACCAUGUUUCCCUUUUUUUUUUUUUUUUUACCUCCCCGCCAAUUACUUGCCCCACCUCAUCCGCGUCUACCUGCUCCCCCUCACCCCAUUAAAGCCUCGUGCUCCUUUCCAAAGGGCGCCAUCCUCCUCCGCGCCCUGCAGCGGAACCCCAGGGCGGGAGGAGCGGCGCCGAGUCGGACCGGCUGCAGGCCAGUGGUCUUCCCGGAAGUGCGCCUCCCCCGGUUAUUUCCCAGACCCCGGCGCGGGGCUGCGAACCCACCUGCCCCAGAGCGGCUGCGGCCAUGAUCCGUGCGGCGCGUAACUGUGCCCGCCCGGGGCGCGGCUCCGAAGAGAGACGUUCCGGCCACGCCCCGCUCACGCCUCCUUCUGGGGGAAGGCGGCCGACCAGCGCCCCAGGCCGUCCCAGCUCCAGGGCGUCGGCAGGGAGCCGGACACUGCUGCGGGGCGCAGGCGCUGGUGGGAGGGCAGGACUUGAAAUACGGUCCCUGCCAGGCGAAGUGGCUCAGGUCUGUAAUCUUAGCACUUUGGGAGGCCGAAGCGGGCGGAUUACCUGAGGUCAGGAGUUAGAGACCAGCCUGGUCCAACAUGAUGAAACCCCGUCUCUACUAAAAAUACAAAAAAUUAGCCGGGCGUGGUGGCGGGCGCCUGUAAUCUUAGCUACUCGGAAAGCUGAGGCAGGAGAAUUGCUUGAAUCGGGGAGGCAGAGGUUGCAGUGAGCCGAGAUGAUGCCACUGCACUCCAGCCUGGGCGACAGAGUGAGACUCCGUCUCAAAAAAAAAAAAAAAAAAAAGUCCUGGCUUGGUGGCUCACACCUGUAAUCCCAGCACUUUGGGGGCCAAGGCGGGUGGAUCACCUGAGGCCAGGAGUUCAAGACCAGCCUGGCCGACAUGGGGAAACCCCGUCUCUACUAAAAAUACAAAAAUUAAGGCCAGGCACGGUGGCUUACGCCUGUAAUCCCAGCACUUUGGGAGGCCGAGGUGGGCGGAUCACAAGGUCAGGAGUUCAAGACCCGCCUGACCAACAUGGUGAAACCCCGUCUCUACUAAAGAUACAAAAAUUAGCCGGGUGUGGUGGUGUGCGCCUGUAAUCCCAGCUACUAGGGAGGCUGAGGCAGGAGAAUCAUUUGAACCCUGGAGGCGGACGUUGCGGUGAGCCGAGAUCGCGCCACUGCAUUUCCAGCCUGGGUGACAGGGUGAGACUCCGUCUCAAAAUAAAUAAAUAAAUAAAAAUAAAUACAUAAAAAUACAAAAAUUAGUCGAGCGUGGUGCCGGGGGCCUGUAAUCCCAGCUAUUCGGGAGGCUGAGGCAGGAGAAUCGCUUGAACCCGGGAGGCGGAGGUUGCAGUGAGCCGACAUUGCACCACAGCACUCCAGCCUGGGCGACAGAGUGAGACUCCGUCUCAAAUUAAAAAAAAAAAAAAAAAAUCGUAUCCCUCGGCCAUCGUGUCUCGGCAAUCCUACCCUGGGACACUCUGUCUCCAAAUUCUACCCCCACAGUGCCCCCAAGUCCUGUCCCCGGGUCACUAUCCUGCCACCCCUAACAGCCACAGGCCCAAACAGCCAAACCGCGGGACCCUUCCCUCACAGGGCGUCGCCCUGUUUUUCUGCGCUCCGCCCCAGUCCUCCUGCCCCACCCGCCAGCCCCGGGCUGUAGGGUCGGGGCCCACUGACAGCUCCCGCCCCCGCCGCGGCCAAUCAGCGGUUGGUGCACACGCCCCCCCGGCCACAGCCAAUCCGCAGCAGCCCUGCAGCUCCACCCCUCACCUGGGGGACGCCAGCGCACCCGGGCCCUGCCCCCCCCCUGGGUCCAGCUGGGGAGUCUGCGUCCCCCAGUGCCCUGCGGACCAAAACCCAGGAGUUUCAGCCCCUCCUCCCUCUGAUCCAGAUGUCUCAACCCCCUACUUUCUCUUCCCUUUGGACUUUUCUUGCCAGCCACCUUCCUAUUCUACAGGCAGUGAGAGGAAAACUCCUUUUCCCUGAGGGCCAAGAGUAAGAGGGCCUUCUGCGUCUCCCCCUCCAUUACCUCCUAAUUAGCGCUUAAUUUACUCUCCCCUGCGGGCCUUUAGUUAGCGCGCUGGUGAAGCCAAACCGCUCUACCCUUCCCAGGAGCCCCUGGCGACAGCGACAGGGCUAGCAACAUCAGGCACCUGCUUGCUGCAAGGCCUGGGGUUGGGGGGCGGGGGGAGCUGCAGUCCUUCAGGGUCGAGGCAACUUGUGGGUCUGGGGUGCAAGGGCUAAGUGGGGCAGAAGGACUCGUCUAAAGGAUGGGAAAUAAAUAUAACGAUAUCCUCCUCCUUCUGGCUGCAAAUCGUUUUUAUGGGAACCUGCAGGGUGACCCGGCACCUUGCUAACUGGGCUUAGAGUCUAAGGGCUUGGGGGCUGCAUCUGAUACAGGUUGGAGUUUGGGGUGGGAGAGUCCUAGGAAGGGGGCCCCAAGUAGAAAUGAGAGAAAUCAGGAAGGGAUAUCGGGGGCGUCCACGGGGGUGCUCCGACUGGCCUUGCACCCGUACCCCAGCUCUGCACCCCCCGUCACGAGCAGUUCAAUGCCCGUGCAGAAGUUGGCUUCGGAGGCCAGGAACACUGCCGCAGCCCCGACCUCAGCGGGCUG